rnacentral:rRNA from 1 species
AGGCUUAACACAUGCAAGUCGAGCGCCCCGCAAGGGGAGCGGCAGACGGGUGAGUAACGCGUGGGAAUCUACCCAUCUCUACGGAAUAACUCAGGGAAACUUGUGCUAAUACCGUAUACGCCCUUCGGGGGAAAGAUUUAUCGGAGAUGGAUGAGCCCGCGUUGGAUUAGCUAGUUGGUGGGGUAAAGGCCUACCAAGGCGACGAUCCAUAGCUGGUCUGAGAGGAUGAUCAGCCACAUUGGGACU